UACAAGGAAUCAGUAACACCUCCAAGGAAUCAACCUGUCUAAUUUUAGGCCAUUGGGAAGGCUUUGGCAGGACUACUUUUAAUUCUUUACCAAUCAGUGAAUGACGGAAGUUAAUGGUUGCAUGAGAUUGGAACAAUCUAUACUUUGGUCUAAAAUUGAUUCCGGUGUUUAGAAAUUUUGCGAACAUGUCAAUGGCUCCCAAAAGAGGGGUGAAGGCACCAGUG